CCUCGGGGCUGGGUUCACCUCGGAGCGGCUCCGGCUCCGGCACGCAGCCGGCGCUUUGGAUUGCUCCAACCGAACCCGGGAACGCGCCGACCGCACAAUUCCUAGCCAGAAAUCAGUCUCAGUGUGCAGCCCUAGCUGUCCCGGAACUCACUGUGUAUACCCGAUUGCCCCUGAACUCACAUAGCUGACCAGCUUCCUUGAACAGUCCUGAAAUUGACUACGGACUAUAGUGCUGCAUCGCCCACAAAGAAAGGCUGUCGCAGCGCCAGGCACAGAAGGACUGUUCUUGUACCUUUGUGUGCAGGUUCCUGAACCUAUGGACGUUGUGCAAAUGGAAACUGGCAUUAACCUCAAUGGAUGAAACACCCCAGCAGACCAUGAGUGGCAAGCAAGAGUUCUCCCUGGACAAGUCACUGUACCAGUAAGGAGUCUAGCCAAAAUCUCAGCUCAUGUAUGUCCUCAAAUGAGAAGAAGCAGGACCAGGGACAUUGCCAUAAGAAUCACAUCUCAGCUUUUGGGAACACAAGGAAUGCCACUGGAGUACUUUUUCUCUUCUGCUGGUGUUGGAUUCCACCGAACUAAUUCUCAGCGUCCAACUACUGGAUUUUUAUUGUACAGUACCUCUUUUAAAAUGUUAGAAGAACCUCUUUAAAUUGUAUAGGGCUGGAGAAAUGGCUCAGUGGUUAAGAACAAUGGCUAUUCUUCCAGAGGACCUGGGUUCAAUUCUCAGCCCCCAUAUGGCAGCUCAUUACUGUCUGUAAUGCCAGUUCCAGGAGACUUGAUACCCUCAUACAGAUAUACAU